rnacentral:rRNA from 1 species
UACGGGGGGGGCAAGCGUUGUUCGGAAUUACUGGGCGUAAAGGGCUCGUAGGCGGCCAACUAAGUCCGACGUGAAAUCCCAAGGCUUAACCUUGGAACUGCGUCGGAUACUGGAUGGCUUGAAUUCGGGAGAGGGAUGCAGAAUUCCAGGUGUAGCGGUGAAAUGCGUAGAUAUCUGGAGGAAUACCGGUGGCGAAGGCGGCAUCCUGGACCGACACUGACGCUGAGGCGCGAAAGCGUGGGGAGCAAACAGG